GAUGAACGCUGGCGGCGUGCCUAAUACAUGCAAGUCGAGCGAACAGACGAGGAGCUUGCUCCUUUGACGUUAGCGGCGUACGGGUGAGUAACACGUAGGUAACCUACCUAUAAGACUGGGAUAACUUCGGGAAACCGGAGCUAAUACCGGAUAAUAUUUCGAACCGCAUGGUUCGAUAGUGAAAGAUGGCUUUGCUAUCACUUAUAGAUGGACCUGCGCCGUAUUAGCUAGUUGGUAAGGUAACGGCUUACCAAGGCAACGAUACGUAGCCGACCUGAGAGGGUGAUCGGCCACACUGGAACUGAGACACGGUCCAGACUCCUACGGGAGGCAGCAGUAGGGAAUCUUCCGCAAUGGGCGAAAGCCUGACGGAGCAACGCCGCGUGAGUGAUGAAGGUCUUCGGAUCGUAAAACUCUGUUAUUAGGGAAGAACAAACGUGUAAGUAACUGUGCACGUCUUGACGGUACCUAAUCAGAAAGCCACGGCUAACUACGUG
rnacentral:rRNA from 1 species